GACGGUUCUCAGGUGAGGCACCCUGGAAUUAGGCUCCCUCUUUCUGGUUCCAGGAUGCAUCACCCGAGAACCGCU
rfam:Myotis davidii contig183910, whole genome shotgun sequence.